rnacentral:rRNA from 1 species
GUGCCAGCAGCCGCGGUAAUACAGAGGGUGCAAGCGUUAAUCGGAAUUACUGGGCGUAAAGCGUGCGUAGACGGUUAUGUAAGUCAGAUGUGAAAGCCCCGGGCUCAACCUGGGAAUUGCAUUUGAGACUGCAUAGCUAGGAUGCGGAAGAGGGAAGUGGAAUUUCCGGUGUAGCGGUGAAAUGCGUAGAUAUCGGAAGGAACAUCAGUGGCGAAAGCGACUUCCUGGUCCAGCAUCGACGUUCAGGCACGAAAGCGUGGGGAGCAAACAGGAUUAGAUACCCGUGUAGUCC